GAUGGAGAAGCGCGGGGGGGGGGGGGGGGGGAAUUUUCUGGCUGUGCUCCGGCCUCCACCUCCGUCCCCCUCGCCCCUGCGCCAGGCGCCCUCCCCCCGCCAUUAGCAUAGGCCUGCCCGGGUUUACAUGUCGGGCUGCACGUUGCCGCGGCCGGAUCCAGCAGCCAGCAGCGCUGGCAGCCGCCCCGAGUCAGCUGCUUCCCCGCGAGGAGCGGCGGGAGCCGAGCGGGGCGGGCGGCGGGGAGGCGCCCGCGGGCACCGCUGUUAAGGUGUCCUCGAGGAGAUGGAUCCCGGCCCGCCGCCCCGGGGUCCCCCGCCGCCCCCCGAGCUGCGCCCGCCUCAGCCUAUGGAUCCGGGAUUUCCCACUGUAGGAACCAGGACAAUAGCAUCUCUGGCACAGCUGUGGGACGGAUGACUGAGCAGCUAAAGUGACUGUGCACAGUCCCAAAGCCUUCCUUCUUCCUUCCCACCCUGAGCAGGUGUGGGUCAUGCCUGCACUGCAGCACAGAACAGCCCUUGCUGUUCCCAGGAGGCAGUGGGCUGGGGGGAUUGCUGCUUUCCUAUCCACUGCCCAUUCUGCCACAUGGGGAAUAAAAUUUCCCCUGGAGGUAA